CAGCCGAGUGGCGCGAUUGAGAGCGAGAGUGAAGACCUAAGUUGCCGGGUAGUGUUUUUUUCCCUCUUGUCUUUGUUUUCAUUCUUUUUCUUCUCGCACUAGAAGAAGUUUCCUGGAUCCAGAGUUCAGACUCUUAAGAAAUUCAACAAGAAAAAAUACUCUUGAUUCUAUCGAUUCUUGCUUGAAUCGAGAGCCAAACCUCUGAAUUUUAGCGAUAUCCCUUUUGAUUCAAGGAAACAUUCGAUAGAAUCUAGAGUAUUUUUUCUUGUCAAAAGUCUGAACUCAAUCAGGAGAAACUUUUUUCCAAUGGCGGUAAUGGGUCUCUCUAUUUAUUGCUAUUCCAAAUGCUUAUUUUUUUUCUUUUUUUGUUGCUACAAAAACUGUUCUCAAUUGUGAACUAAGGGCAAACCCUUGACUGGGGUCUCCCGUCACACUGUACCUUAAAAGGGUUAAAUUAAAUGUUUAAAAAAAUCGAUAAGUAAGUGAUACCAUGGUUACAUACAAUGAAAAUAUUAUUAAAUUAACAAAGUUAACUUGCAUACUUAGACCAUAAACAUUGGAAAAUGAAAAAUGACUCUCUCUCCCCAUAAACUUCUGUAAAUAUACCCAGGACAAGCGUCAGUCUGGCUCCAAAUUUCUUCGGGUACUGAUACGCUUUCAGGGCCACUUCUCUCGGAUGAAACCCCCCAAAACUAUAACCUUAAGUCCUCUCGUUACGUGGAUCUUUCAAAAUUUGUGGGGCCCUUACAGGAGUCCUGUCGAGGCCCCAGAGUCACCAUCAGAAUUUCUGGGAUGCUAAAGCAUCCUAGCACCCCUGGCCAGACCCCCCUGCCCAGGACUCACCUGAAAAUGGACUUGUUCCCGUUCGGAGACACCUGAUCUAUUUGGGAAGAAGACUUACGAUCUUAGCAGCACCUGAUAGCGACCUGAUGUGUCCAAUUCGACUAGGUUUUAUCGCGUUUUCCCAACAGCGUGCAUGCAUGAAAAGCCUCUCGGGAACCAUGUGUUUCGCCGCCCCUACGAGAGCGGUCCAUUAUCCACCAGACACGACGCGAGCACCCGCGCCUCCUCCGCUCCUCUCGUGGAGCGAAGCGCCCGGUCCGGUCGUUUUCAAGAGCGCCGUGGGAUCUCGGAGGCUUUACCUUGGAACUGACCUAUGCGGUGGCUCCGGGCCGCGGUUAUCGAGGCGGGCGAUCGCGGAUAACGAAGCCCGAGCCGGCAACGCGGCGCGAGGCUGGGGCGUCCACCCGCUAUCCCUCGCCCUCGCCCUCUCCGCGUCGCCGUCGCAGCCUCAAUCGGCACCAGUGUCGAGUCCGCGUCUGACGUAUCCACCUCUUCCGUCCGCUCGCCCGUUCUCCCGCGCUCCGGCUUCGGACCACAGUGCUCCCAUCCGCGGAUCACCGCUUCCUCAACAGUUUGCAAAGAGUGGUUGAUUCAUGAAGAUGGUGCUCUUGCCUAUAAACUACAGAAAGAAGAAGUGGAACAGCAUUACUCUGGAAAAAACAACGGAAUGCACAAGUUCGCGAAGAUUUUCCACGGGCAAAAGAUGAGCAGCUUAGGGAGGAAAUCGAAGCCCGCCUCAAAUACCAGCAGCUCAUCUCUCAACA
rnacentral:lncRNA from 1 species